rnacentral:rRNA from 1 species
CCUACGGGUGGCUGCAGUGAGGAAUAUUGGUCAAUGGGAGGAAUCCUGAACCAGCCAUGCCGCGUGCAGGACGACGGCUCGACGAGUUGUAAACUGCUUUUGUACCGGGGUAAAAUGCCCUACGAGUAGGGUUUUGAAAGUACGGUACGAAUAAGGAUCGGCUAACUCCGUGCCAGCAGCCGCGGUAAUACGGAGGAUCCGAACGUUAUCCGGAUUCAUUGGGUUUAAAGGGUGGGUAGGUGUGUUAUAAGGUAGCGGGGGAAUACCGGUGCUCAACAUCGGGGCUGCCGCUAAUACUGUAGGACUAGAGAUCGGAUGCAGCAGGCGGAAUGUGUAGUGUAGCGGUGAAAUGCAUAGAGAUUACACAGAACACCGAUUGCGAAGGCAGCUUGCUAGGCCGGAUCUGACACUGAUGCACGAAAGCGUGGGGAUCGAACAGGAUUAGAUACCCGGGUAGUC